GGAUGAACUCAGCAACAGCUUCCUGUGCCGGAUUCAGCAAGAGUCCCCAGCCCCGACAGGGUGCCUGCAUGUGCCAGAGGCUCUGGGCUCUAGUGGGUGAACAAGACCGUCGAGAGCCCUGGCCCCGUGGACAUUAGGGGCUGCGCACUGAGAAGGAAACUAAAAUGCCCCGCCGGCCCCUCCUGACUUCCAGAGCUCUGAGCAAGGGUCCCUUUGCCAGUGUGGAACCACAGUCUGUCGUGGGUUCACCGGCCAUGUCGCUGAAGGUCUGUCUGUCACUAGCAGAUGCAGAGUCACGAGAUUCGAUUUAUACGUCACCAAAGUAAAAACCUUCAAGACACACCAUUACAGAAAUUAACGGACAAGCCACAGACUAGAAGAACUCAUUUGCGAAUCAUGUAUCUGAGAAAGGACUGAAUACAGAAAGACGCCUUAAGACUCAAUAAUAAGGAGGCAAGUAACUCAAUUAAAAACUUAAGUUUAAGGGGCGCCCGGGUGGCUCAGUUGGUUGAGCCUCUGACUCUUGAUUUCAGCUCAGGUCAUGAUCCCAGGGUCGUGGGAUCGAGCCCUGAAUUGGGCUCCGCACUGAGCGUGGAUCCUGUUUGGGAUUCUCUCUCUCUCCUUCUCCCUCUCUCUUUCUCCCUCUGCCCCUCCCCUGCUCAUGUUCUCUCUCUCUCUAAAAAAAAAAAAAAGAAAGACACUUAAAUUUAAGUUACAAAAUUACAUUCAAAACAGAUCUGAAUAGGGGCGCCUGGGGGGCUCAGUCGGUUAAGCGUCCGACUUCGGCUCAGGUCACGAUCUCGCGGUCCGUGAGUUCGAGCCCCGCGUCGGGCUCUGGGCUGAUGGCUCGGAGCCUGGAGCCUGCUUCCGAUUCUGUGUCUCCCUCUCUCUCUGCCCCUCCCCCGUUCACGCUCUCUCUCUGUCCCAAAAAUAAAUAAACGUUAAAAAAAAAACAAAAAAACAAAAAAACAGAUCUGAAUAGACAGGACACCAGAGAUGUACGCGGGGGCAGGGAGCACGAGAGAAACAGAACGCUCAGGGUCCUUAGUCCUCAGGGAAAUGCAAAUGAAUGCCACAGCGAGGUGCCACCUCACAUGCAUCAGGGUGGCCUUCAGAGUAAUAAAGGGACCCAGCACAUGUUGGGGAGGCUGUGGGGAGGCUCUGCCAUCGCUGCUGGGAAUGUAAACUGACGCGGCCACUCUGGAAAGCAGCCGAGAAGAGUCUUCAAAGGCUAAACAUACCAUGAU